GUAUUUACCUGACAGAGAAGGAGACCAUGGUCAUGGUACUGUUCCCAGGACAAGACUUUAUUUAUUGCACUCUGAAUGAGCAGACCCUUGCGAUUCUCCCAAGUGUGGGAAACAUGAGGUGUAAUUUGUGGUAGUGGAUGGGGGCUACAUUUAGGUGUUCCUGUU
rnacentral:snRNA from 1 species